rnacentral:tRNA from 1 species
GUGUUGUAGGUUGUUGAUUACAAGGGACUCAUAAUCCAUUGGUCGUUGGUUCGAGUCCAACCAGAUCCACCA